ACCUCCAAAUUGGUACUACUAUGUCGCUGGUACCAUGUAAAAGCCUUUUCUCGCCGAUGUAGGUCAUUGGUACUCGGCAGAACCGUCACUUUGCGGGAAUUGCACGCAUUUUUGGCACUAGGAAACUGCGAUCAAACCCUGAAGUCCCCGGAACAAACGUCGAUGCGAAAGGAAUGGUAAAGUGGUACGCGUUAUUAUGGUACCAUCAACAUGGCCGCGCUUUGACUCUGCUGCUGGUCAACUUUUGAACGUCAACAGGUAG
rnacentral:lncRNA from 1 species